ACCACCAUAAGGAUAUGUAUGGGUGAGCUCGUUAGAGGGUUUUGACGCUCACCUUCACCCGUGACAGAUCCAGUGAAUCCAUAACGGUACCGGUGAAAAACUC
rnacentral:pre_miRNA from 1 species